CAGCACCGUACGUUUCACAGUAGUAAACUUGGCAACAGCUGCCCCCUACACGGUCAAAUCGACAAAUAACUAUGCGCCGACGUCUGAUCAGACACAGUUCUUAUUUCACUUGAGAGAUUUGCACGAAUGAGCCUCAUUCACGAAGGUUAUUCGAUCUUAAAACAUCGAUAAACGAAGGCGUGGCUCGAUUGUUUGAAGUAGACAAGAUAACGUAACAUGAAUCGAAGUGAAUGGGAUGUUGGAUGUUGUAAUUUAA